rnacentral:rRNA from 1 species
ACUCCUACGGGAGGCAGCAGUGGGGAAUAUUGGACAAUGGGCGCAAGCCUGAUCCAGCCAUGCCGCGUGAGUGAUGAAGGCCCUAGGGUUGUAAAGCUCUUUCACCGGAGAAGAUAAUGACGGUAUCCGGAGAAGAAGCCCCGGCUAACUUCGUGCCAGCAGCCGCGGUAAUACGAAGGGGGCUAGCGUUGUUCGGAAUUACUGGGCGUAAAGCGCACGUAGGCGAAUCGAUCAGUCAGGGGUGAAAUCCCAGGGCUCAACCCUGGAACUGCCUUUGAUACUGUCGAUCUGGAGUAUGGAAGAGGUGAGUGGAAUUCCGAGUGUAGAGGUGAAAUUCGUAGAUAUUCGGAGGAACACCAGUGGCGAAGGCGGCUCACUGGUCCAUUACUGACGCUGAGGUGCGAAAGCGUGGGGAGCAAACAGGAUUAGAUACCCCUGUAGUCCCAUGA